rnacentral:rRNA from 1 species
ACUAAGCGUACACGGUGGAUGCCCUGGCAGUCAGAGGCGAUGAAGGACGUGCUAAUCUGCGAUAAGCGCCGGUAAGGUGAUAUGAACCGUUAUAACCGGCGAUUUCCGAAUGGGGAAACCCAGUGUGAUUCGUCACACUAUCAUUAACUGAAUCCAUAGGUUAAUGAGGCGAACCGGGGGAACUGAAACAUCUAAGUACCCCGAGGAAAAGAAAUCAACCGAGAUUCCCCCAGUAGCGGCGAGCGAACGGGGAGGAGCCCAGAGCCUGAAUCAGCAUGUGUGUUAGUGGAAGCGUCUGGAAAGGUGCGCGAUACAGGGUGACAGCCCCGUACACAAAAGCGCAUGUGCUGUGAGCUCGAUGAGUAGGGCGGGACACGUGGUAUCCUGUCUGAAUAUGGGGGGACCAUCCUCCAAGGCUAAAUACUCCUGACUGACCGAUAGUGAACCAGUACCGUGAGGGAAAGGCGAAAAGAACCCCGGCGAGGGGAGUGAAAAAGAACCUGAAACCGUGUACGUACAAGCAGUGGGAGCACCCUUCGGGGUGUGACUGCGUACCUUUUGUAUAAUGGGUCAGCGACUUAUAUUCUGUAGCAAGGUUAACCGUAUAGGGGAGCCGGAGGGAAACCGAGUCUUAACCGGGCGUUAAGUUGCAGGGUAUAGACCCGAAACCCGGUGAUCUAGCCAUGGGCAGGUUGAAGGUUGGGUAACACUAACUGGAGGACCGAACCGACUAAUGUUGAAAAAUUAGCGGAUGACCUGUGGCUGGGGGUGAAAGGCCAAUCAAACCGGGAGAUAGCUGGUUCUCCCCGAAAGCUAUUUAGGUAGCGCCUCGUGAAUUCAUCUCCGGGGGUAGAGCACUGUUUCGGCUAGGGGGCCAUCCCGGCUUACCAACCCGAUGCAAACUGCGAAUACCGGAGAAUGUUAUCACGGGAGACACACGGCGGGUGCUAACGUCCGUCGUGAAGAGGGAAACAACCCAGACCGCCAGCUAAGGUCCCAAAGUCAUGGUUAAGUGGGAAACGAUGUGGGAAGGCCCAGACAGCCAGGAUGUUGGCUUAGAAGCAGCCAUCAUUUAAAGAAAGCGUAAUAGCUCACUGGUCGAGUCGGCCUGCGCGGAAGAUGUAACGGGGCUAAACCAUGCACCGAAGCUGCGGCAGCGACGCUGAUGCGUUGUUGGGUAGGGGAGCGUUCUGUAAGCCUGCGAAGGUGACCUGUGAGGGUUGCUGGAGGUAUCAGAAGUGCGAAUGCUGACAUAAGUAACGAUAAAGCGGGUGAAAAGCCCGCUCGCCGGAAGACCAAGGGUUCCUGUCCAACGUUAAUCGGGGCAGGGUGAGUCGACCCCUAAGGCGAGGCCGAAAGGCGUAGUCGAUGGGAAACGGGUUAAUAUUCCCGUACUUGGUGUUACUGCGAAGGGGGGACGGAGAAGGCUAUGUUGGCCGGGCGACGGUUGUCCCGGUUUAAGCGUGUAGGUGUGUGUUCCAGGUAAAUCCGGUUCACUUUAACACUGAGGCGUGAUGACGAGGCACUACGGUGCUGAAGCAACAAAUGCCCUGCUUCCAGGAAAAGCCUCUAAGCAUCAGGUAACAUCAAAUCGUACCCCAAACCGACACAGGUGGUCAGGUAGAGAAUACCAAGGCGCUUGAGAGAACUCGGGUGAAGGAACUAGGCAAAAUGGUGCCGUAACUUCGGGAGAAGGCACGCUGACACGUAGGUGAAGUGAUUUACUCACGGAGCUGAAGUCAGUCGAAGAUACCAGCUGGCUGCAACUGUUUAUUAAAAACACAGCACUGUGCAAACACGAAAGUGGACGUAUACGGUGUGACGCCUGCCCGGUGCCGGAAGGUUAAUUGAUGGGGUCAGCGCAAGCGAAGCUCCUGAUCGAAGCCCCGGUAAACGGCGGCCGUAACUAUAACGGUCCUAAGGUAGCGAAAUUCCUUGUCGGGUAAGUUCCGACCUGCACGAAUGGCGUAAUGAUGGCCAGGCUGUCUCCACCCGAGACUCAGUGAAAUUGAACUCGCUGUGAAGAUGCAGUGUACCCGCGGCAAGACGGAAAGACCCCGUGAACCUUUACUAUAGCUUGACACUGAACAUUGAGCCUUGAUGUGUAGGAUAGGUGGGAGGCUUUGAAGUGUGGACGCCAGUCUGCAUGGAGCCGACCUUGAAAUACCACCCUUUAAUGUUUGAUGUUCUAACGUGGACCCGUAAUCCGGGUUGCGGACAGUGUCUGGUGGGUAGUUUGACUGGGGCGGUCUCCUCCUAAAGAGUAACGGAGGAGCACGAAGGUUGGCUAAUCCUGGUCGGACAUCAGGAGGUUAGUGCAAUGGCAUAAGCCAGCUUGACUGCGAGCGUGACGGCGCGAGCAGGUGCGAAAGCAGGUCAUAGUGAUCCGGUGGUUCUGAAUGGAAGGGCCAUCGCUCAACGGAUAAAAGGUACUCCGGGGAUAACAGGCUGAUACCGCCCAAGAGUUCAUAUCGACGGCGGUGUUUGGCACCUCGAUGUCGGCUCAUCACAUCCUGGGGCUGAAGUAGGUCCCAAGGGUAUGGCUGUUCGCCAUUUAAAGUGGUACGCGAGCUGGGUUUAGAACGUCGUGAGACAGUUCGGUCCCUAUCUGCCGUGGGCGCUGGAGAACUGAGGGGGGCUGCUCCUAGUACGAGAGGACCGGAGUGGACGCAUCACUGGUGUUCGGGUUGUCAUGCCAAUGGCACUGCCCGGUAGCUAAAUGCGGAAGAGAUAAGUGCUGAAAGCAUCUAAGCACGAAACUUGCCCCGAGAUGAGUUCUCCCUGAGACUUAGAGUCUCCUGAAGGAACGUUGAAGACGACGACGUUGAUAGGCCGGGUGUGUAAGCGCAGCGAUGCGUUGAGCUAACCGGUACUAAUGAACCGUGAGGCUUAACC